rfam:Myotis lucifugus cont2.3190, whole genome shotgun sequence.
GGAGGUUCUUGGGUGACGCACCCCAGAAUCGGGCUCCCUCCUCUCUGGUUCCUCGGAGCGUCACCCUUUGAACCACC